rnacentral:tRNA from 1 species
GCUCCUGUAGCUCAGUCGGUAGAGCGUUUCCAUGGUAAGGAAGAGGUCGCAGGUUCGAUUCCUGUCGGGAGCAC